rnacentral:misc_RNA from 1 species
GGUAAUAUAUUUUGUUGAUAUUGAUGUGAGCAUAUGUCAGUUUGGCGGAAAAGAACUGCUUGUUCUACAUAUCAACAACAGCAACAACAGGCGCAGUAGUAGUAACAGCAACUCAGAGAAACACGCCACAGAACACAUAAUAUCAACACGAGAUAUAUGAAUGACCCAAACAAAAACUUCCAGUUUAUUUUUCUGGCUUCUGUUAUUGCUAGUUAGCCUUUUGUUGUUUUAGAAUUAUUUGUUUUAUUUCUGAUUGCUUUUUUUUUUUAAAUAACACGAAUGGAUUUUUGAUAAUUUCAUUACCUUGAACAAGGAGUACAUCUGUUGAGAAAAAUAGAAACUAACUGAUCGUCAAAAAAGCUCAGAAACUCCACUCCGUAACGAAAGGGUGCCGUCUUAUAUAUUAUUGAUAUAAAAGAUAUCUAAAUCAUACAAGUAUAUGCAUAUAAUUAUAUAAGUAUAACGAAAUGCGAUGAGCUUGUGUUGUUAGUAUGGAAAACAUGAGAAAUCAGUGAGGACAAGAAAAUUUAGAAAGUAAAACAAAUUGAUUUUUUUAAAUUAAAAAAAAAAAAGAAAUACCUGAUAAACAAACAAAACAAACGACAUUUAUUUCAAUAUGUAUCUUUUCGUUGUUUCUUCUAGAGGACUAUGGCAUCUAGAAAUAACAAACAACAAAGUCAGUGUUUUAGACAACACCCGAAAUAACAACCUAUCACUCUCUUUUUAACGCAUACAUAUAUAUAUAUAUUUAUUCUUACACACUUAUAUAUCAUAUAUGUUAUACAUGAAAGAUUCGGCUGAUCACUAUGUAAACGGACGUGCUGAGGAACUAAAAACAGUAAAUAUGGUUCCACUGCAAAUAUUUGGAGUAGUGUUUGGCGUUAUUGGAGCUUUUCUAGUCGUUGCCAUAUUUUUGCUGUGUCGUGCAGUCCGGCGGAAGAAAGGAGAUUUACUAAGUCCAUCUUACCGAGCUAUAGGAGAUUACAACCCAGCUAUGACCUCGCUAUCCAUCUCUUCUGGAUCAAAUCAGGAGUUACAGAUGACGAAAGAAGCUAAGACUGUUCAACCCCAUUCAUCGUCUACUUCGACAGUAUCCAGAGGUAGCACACGUAGCGACCAACAUCCAGAAGAAACCAGCAGCAUCAGCGCACGAAGUGAUACCAGUGUCGAUAGCUCUGUAUUUGACGCAUCUUUUGGCUCCAUUCGACCGGAUCUUUACCCACGCAAAGAAACUAUCUUACAACAAUGCUCUCAACAGAAGUGUUACGGUCGACUUCACUUGCGUCUCAAGUAUGACUUUAGGACUUCUGACCUUGUUGUACACCUGAUUGAAGUCCAUGACCUCAUGUGCCCAGAUUCAACCUCCGGAUUUAGCGACCCUUAUAUCAAACUGUUUCUUUACCCAGAAGUAGACGAAAGGCGUCGACAAUCAUCGGUCCAACGUCGAACUUUGAAUCCAUUUUUCAAUGAGUUUUUCAAAUUUCCAAUUCCUUACGAAGACUUACAAGACAAAUCUCUGAUAUUUCAAGUCUUUAACUACGACAAGUUUUCUCGACACAGCAUCCUGGGAGAAGUUAACGUUGACUUAAAUACCGUCGAAACUUCCAGUAGCGUCGAGAUCUGGAGUGAUAUACAGCGAUAUCAGCGGCAUGCUUGCACGAUGGGGGAAUUACUCAUUUCGCUGAGUUAUCUUCCAACGGCCGAAAGGUUAACUGUUGUCAUCAUCAAAGCCAAAGACCUAAGAAUACUUGGACCAGCAGAAGAAUCAGACCCCUUUGUUAGAAUAUCAUUAAUUGUUGAUGGCAAGAAAAUUAAAAGAAAGAAAUCGUCAGUACAGAGAAGUACAUCGUCGCCAGUUUGGAACGAAGCGUUAACUUUCAAUGUUCCGGCCGAGAUUUUACCAAAAGUGGCCCUUGAGUGUUGUGUGUGGGAUCAUGAUAUUAUAGGCCACGGUGAACUAAUUGGAAAGUGUACACUAGGACCGGAGAGGCAAGGAAACGAACGCAAACAUUGGAUGGAACUGCUUAGCUGUCACAGAACAUCCACAGCCAUGUGGCAUAGCUUACACAAAUGACUAUUGACAGGACAUGGAAGUCCCCCAAACUGCAUUUCUCUUGUGUGCAGACAAAAGAAAACAAAACUGACCUUAAUGAGAAGAAGUAGGUUGGCCGAAAUGAUAUGGAAAGAAAUCAAGAGAUCAACAACAUUGUACAUUAAGAGCCAUGAUGGUUGAAAACGAAAGGUAUAAAAUUCCAAUGAUAAUCCGGGUGGAGUGGUUGUAAAGUGGUUCAGGAGAGGAAGCAAAGAUCCGAGAAGAAGGUAGGAAAGGAGAAGAGGGUCCAAGAGAGGGGCAAGUUUAGUCAGGCAGGAUCAACUGGGGGGAUAUAGAUAUAUAAGACAGGCCUUGACUCCGGUUAAAACAAAAUUAUUAGUUAUAACGUUGUGACAGACGCUCUCAAGCAAUUUCUCUGACUAUAUUUUUACAGGUGGUUGUUUAAGUCUCACAUCUUAAAUUCCAACAUUUAUUUUUUUUUAACUAUUGGCGCUUUCGCUAAAUUGUUGUGAAGCUUGAAUGAAAUAUCACCAAUAAGAUGAAGAAAAAAAAAGAAAGAAACAAGAGAGCAAGUAAAAUGGUAAAAAAUGAUGAUGGUAGUGGCGAUGCUGGUGGCGGCGAUAGGAUUGGUUGUGGUGGGGGUAGUGAUGAGGAUGAUAUUGGUUAUGGCUAUUGUUUAAGGCUGCUUUUCAUCUGAAGCCUGAUUGAAUGGUCAAAGCCUGUGCAUUUUAACCGUUUGGCCAUAUUCGGCCCAGAUAUUCGACCUGUUUUAUGUUGAAACUGGCCAGACUCUACUUCUUGCACUUAUCUUACAAGGCCAUUCAAAAACUAAACAAUCUCGUCAUCGAAAUCUCAAAGCUUGAAGAUAAUUCACGACUAAUUGAAAAUAAUGCGAAUAAAUAAGAAUUACAUUUGACGUUGUAAUCUGUAUAAUGUAGACGUCUUGACACCAAAUAAAAGCGGACGUCCAAAACCAUUUAGCGAUUGGCAUUCGUAGAACCAACAAGGGAUACAGAACCAAACAAAUGUCUAGACAACUUUAUCAAUGGCCCCAUACCCCAGGAGGCAUAGUGGAUGACUACAAAAGUGUACAAAUAUUUACAACACUCUUUCGUUUUACCACUUUCUAGUAAAGAUAUUGCACUAAUAUGUAGGGCAGUUAAAGUUCUAAAACAAUAGACGAAGGGUAUUUAACAAGUAGAGUAGCUGGGGAUGAGGAUAAGUGGGAGUGGGACGACUGAGGUGGGGGUGAAUGAGAGCUGGACGAGUGGUGUAGGAGCGGUCUGCACCGGGGGCUCUUUUAACUGUGGGGAGAAGUUUUGCCUUUGUCGUAUAAGCCAGCUUGGGGAUUCCUCGAGGGGUCUGCGGCAAACUCGUAUGCUGCCCUGGGCGGUAGAAGCUACAUCACUGUAUUUAAACCCUUUUAAUACCAACCCGCCUGAAACCGUCCUUAGUUCUAUGGUGCAAAACCCACUCUCAAAGUGAUCAGAACUGAGACCUUCCAUUAAAGUUUUAUGCUAAUUUAUGUCCCAAACACCAGUUAAAUCAUAACGGUCACGUUAAUAAAUUCUACCAUAUCGUCAAAAUAAAUUAGAACUCGAAGACCAUGUGUUUUAAGAGAAAUAUGGUAACGAAAGGCUUAACUUCACUACAUUUUCUUAGGUUUCUGAUAAAUUUCUAUCAACCAAAGUAUUAGUAAGGUGAAAAAUGUUGAAAAUUAUUUCCUGAUAUCAAUAGAAGUUGCUUAUCAACCACAUGGUUCCGGAUUGUGUCCCACUGUGUGGCACC